rfam:Hordeum vulgare subsp. vulgare, WGS project CAJW01000000 data, contig: morex_contig_104845
UAGAUACUUCCUCCGUCCAAAAAUUAUUGUCUUAGCUUUGCGUAAAAAUGGAUGUAUCUAAAUACUAAAACUUGACUAGAUACAUUUAUAUUUAAACAAAUCUGACACAAAUUUUUUGAGACGGAGGGAGUAUAUG